rnacentral:ncRNA from 1 species
CUGAUAGAGGCGCAGCAAAGAUGAGUAUCGGCGGAAAGCACCCGCUUUUCCGUGUCCGCCGUGAAAGGCAAUGCUGCCGAAGAUCCAUCGCCCGAAGCGGCGGACGAUGCUUCUGAUCGUAUAUCGAACAGGUAUGCGAUUGUCAUCAUUUUGUAUGAUGGAGUGCUAUCG